rnacentral:rRNA from 1 species
GACGAACCGUGCGAACGUUGUUCGGAAUCACUGGGCGUAAAGCGCACGUAGGCGGAUUUUUAAGUCAGGGGUGAAAUCCCGAGGCUCAACCUCGGAACUGCCUUUGAUACUGGAGAUCUUGAGUCCGGAAGAGGUAAGUGGAACUGCGAGUGUAGAGGUGAAAUUCGUAGAUAUUCGCAAGAACACCAGUGGCGAAGGCGGCUUACUGGUCCGGAACUGACGCUGAGGUGCGAAAGCGUGGGGAGCAAACAGG